GUCGAACGCUGGCGGCGUGCCUAAUACAUGCAAGUAGGACGCAGUUGCGAACGGGUGAGUAACGCGUAGGUAACUACCUAUUAGUGGGGGAUAACUAUUGUAAACGAUACCUCAUACCGCAUACUAGUAGAUGGACCUGCGUUGUAUUAGCUAGUAGGUAGGGUAAUGGCCUACCUAGGCAACGAUACAUAGCCGAGCUAGGAGGGGGGUCGGCCAAACUGGGACUGAGGCACGGACCAGACUCCUUCGGGAGGCAGCAGGAGGGGAGCUUCGGACAAGGGGGGAACCCUUACCGAGCAACGGCGCGGGAGUGAAGAAGGGUUUCGGAUCGUAAAGCUCUGUUGUGAAGGAAGCGGUACCUAACGAGAAAGGGACGGCUAACUACGUGCCAGCAGCCGCGGUAAUAC
rnacentral:rRNA from 1 species